UACAGAGGUCUCAAGCGUUGUUCGGAUUCAUUGGGCGUACAGGGUGCGUAGGCGGCGCGGUAAGUCGGAUGUGAAAUCUCGGAGCUUAACUUCGAAACUGCAUUCGAUACUGCCGUGCUUGAGGACUGGAGAGGAGACUGGAAUUCUCGGUGUAGCGGUGAAAUGCGUAGAUAUCGAGAGGAACACCUGCGGCGAAGGCGGGUUGCUGGGCUGAUACUGACGCUGAGGCGCGAAAGCCAGGGGAGCGAACAGG
rnacentral:rRNA from 1 species